rnacentral:lncRNA from 1 species
GACCAAGAAACCACCCGUCCCCGUACAUCUGUAACUGUUACAAUGGUAUUGUUGAAACUCGCUUGAACAUGAAUAAUUCCUUUUGGUAUUCUACGUCCAGUCUUACGCGAACCAAUACGCCCAUUCCUACGUGAACUAAUUCUUGGUAUAGGUUUUAUCAUAUUUUAUCAUCUCAUACAUAUGAGUCAGAAAUUUACGGAGAUAUCCAUUUCAUGUUAAAACAGAUUCUUUAUUUUGACAUUGAAGCUUCCUUUAUGAAAAAGCUCCAAAGAUUAUCCUUGUCUCUGUUUAUGUCUUGGAUUAGAACAAAUCACUAUAAUUCGUCCGCGCCUACGGAUCAGUCGACAUUUUUCACAAAUUUUACGAACAGAAGCCCUUAUUUUCAUAUUAAUGAUUCCUUAUCUUAAUUCUAUUCUGAAUCUAUUCUUUGAAAUAAAAAAAGUUUGCUUUAUUUUUGAACUUAGAAUUGUAUCCCCAUAAAUUAAAUUAAACAAAUCCCCUAAUCGAUCGAAUCUUUGCUGCGAAGUCUAUAAAUUAGACGUCGCAGGUUGAAUCAUAACUACUUAUUUCCAUUUUUACUUUAUCCACUGGUAGUAUCCGAAUAAAACUGUGUCGUAUCCGACCCAAAAGAUAAGCUAGAAUUAGAUUUUCAUUGUCUAAACGGAGCCAGAACAUACCAUUUGGUAGUGAUUCUGUAAUUAAAUCUUGAUGAAUCCCUUUUUUGUUCUCUGAUUCGAUUUGAGGCAACCCCCUCCUUGAAGUAUCAAUUAAUGGGGGAGCAGUCAUAUAACUUACUUUUCCUCUCUUUUUAUGUUCACAACUGUGAAGUUAGAGAAAUAAUUAGGAUACCAUAG